rnacentral:rRNA from 1 species
UGAGGAAUAUUGGUCAAUGGACGAGAGUCUGAACCAGCCAAGUAGCGUGAAGGAUGACUGCCCUAUGGGUUGUAAACUUCUUUUAUACGGGAAUAAAGUGAGCCACGUGUGGCUUUUUGUAUGUACCGUAUGAAUAAGGAUCGGCUAACUCCGUGCCAGCAGCCGCGGUAAUACGGAGGAUCCGAGCGUUAUCCGGAUUUAUUGGGUUUAAAGGGAGCGUAGGCGGGUUGUUAAGUCAGUUGUGAAAGUUUGCGGCUCAACCGUAAAAUUGCAGUUGAUACUGGCGACCUUGAGUGCAACAGAGGUAGGCGGAAUUCGUGGUGUAGCGGUGAAAUGCUUAGAUAUCACGAAGAACUCCGAUUGCGAAGGCAGCUUACUGGAUUGUAACUGACGCUGAUGCUCGAAAGUGUGGGUAUCAAACAGGAUUAGAUACCCUGGUAGUCCACACAGUAAACGAUGAAUACUCGCUGUUGGCGAUAUACGGUCAGCGGCCAAGCGAAAGCAUUAAGUAUUCCACCUGGGGAGUACGCCGGCAACGGUGAAACUCAAAGGAAUUGACGGGGGCCCGCACAAGCGGAGGAACAUGUGGUUUAAUUCGAUGAUACGCGAGGAACCUUACCCGGGCUUAAAUUGCAACUGACGGAACCGGAAACGGUUCUUUCUUCGGACAGUUGUGAAGGUGCUGCAUGGUUGUCGUCAGCUCGUGCCGUGAGGUGUCGGCUUAAGUGCCAUAACGAGCGCAACCCUUAUCGAUAGUUACUAGCAGGUCAUGCUGAGGACUCUAUUGAGACUGCCGUCGUAAGAUGUGAGGAAGGUGGGGAUGACGUCAAAUCAGCACGGCCCUUACGUCCGGGGCUACACACGUGUUACAAUGGGGGGUACAGAAGGCAGCUACACGGCGACGUGGUGCUAAUCCCUAAAGCCUCUCUCAGUUCGGAUUGGAGUCUGCAACCCGACUCCAUGAAGCUGGAUUCGCUAGUAAUCGCGCAUCAGCCACGGCGCGGUGAAUACGUUCCC